AUUCAGUUGACGAGUCCCAAAUAGGACGUAACGCGUGUCCUGUAC
rnacentral:hammerhead_ribozyme from 1 species